UGAACCUUUCCGAAAGGAUAAGGUUGACAGUAACGGCGUCAAAUUUUGCCAGCCCACCGUUUUCUCGUUUUCGUACUAAUGGCGGUUUACCGUUUUAUUGGACGACGCCGCUGUGAGGUCCUGACGGGACGGCCACUGAUGUUGACGGCAGGGUCAUUGGUCAAAUUGGUCUCCGUCAUGUGGGGCAACUCUGACACGGCAAGUAAAUAUCACUACUAACUUGAAGAAAAAUGAAAAACAAUUUACACUAGAAGGAAAAUAUGAAAAAUAAAUCUGCUCGAAUAUAAUAAAGAAAAAGGUGAAAAAAAAAACAGAUUUUGGAACUAAGUGAUUAGACAUUUGGCAAUGCAAAUUUACCUUAAUUCAAGAGUAAAGAAUAAAAAAGCCAAAUUUUGAUAAUUAAACAAAAUUCUGGGUUUUUUGGACACAAAAUUAUUUUAGAUAUUAUUUUACUUGUACCAUAAACACAUUUUUCAAAUCAUUUUUUAUACUUUCAACUAUUUUUUCAUUUUAUAUAUAUCACAUCAUAAAAAAAUAUUAUAAUAAUUAUUUUAAAUAAUAUCCUAUCAAAAUUUUAAAAUGUUCUUGAUAGGUUAUAAUGCCACAAUAAGCAAAUUAUGACAUCACGAAUACUUUACUCAAAAAGAAAGAAAAGGAUGUAAAAAAAGAAAAGAAAAGUUGAUUACUUGGUCAUUUGAUUUGUGCCCGUAACCAUGAAAAAUUAUACUAACUAGUUCGAUUAAGUAAUCUUUGUUAGUUUGAGAUGACCAUAAUUGAAAUUAUCCACAAAAAGUUUGUGAGUUUUACUUUUGUUUGUAAGCAUAAUUUACAUAAAAAUUAUUUACUUGCAACACAAAUACAUUUUUCGAUUCCACAUUUUUAUUUCACAUACAUCAUAUUAUAAAAAUACUAUAGUAAUUAUUCCAAAUAAUAUUUUAAAUAAACUCUUAUCCAAACAUUAGUUGUGUUCCUUCUUGUCAUUGCUCGACUGAUUUUCUUUCUUAAAUUUUUUUUUUCGCUCAUCUUUUUCUUUUGUUUCUUUUUCUUUUUCCUCUUGACAUAUGAUGCAAACAGUGAAAGUGGAAAUGUCUACACAACUCUACAUCACAAUCUUCAGCUAUAGAUUCAUCCCGGACUUUGAAAAAUAUAUAUCAAUGUGCAUCUUGAGGUUGAGCAUACCUGAAUCUCAAUUAGUCAAACAUUUAACUAAUGUGUUGAAUAAUGAUCUCUUCCUUCAAAAAAAAGAAAAAGAAAAAGAA
rnacentral:lncRNA from 1 species